UACGGAGGAUCCAAGCGUUAUCCGGAUUCACUGGGUUUAAAGGGUGCGUAGGUGGAAUGACAAGUCAGUGGUGAAAACCUGCAGCUUAACUGUAGAACUGCCAUUGAUACUGUUAUUCUUGAGUACAUUUGAUGUGAGUGGAAUGUGUCGUGUAGCGGUGAAAUGCUUAGAUAUGACACAGAACACCAAUUGCGAAGGCAGCUCACAAAACUGUAAACUGACACUGAGGCACGAAAGCGUGGGGAUCAAACAGGG
rnacentral:rRNA from 1 species